GCCCAGAUACGCCAACUGGCGAGCGGCCUGACUUAGGAUCAGGUGUUUGCAGGUUCGAAUCCUGCUCUGGGUA
rnacentral:tRNA from 1 species